rnacentral:rRNA from 1 species
UGGGGGAUAUUGCACAAUGGGCGAAAGCCUGAUGCAGCGACGCCGCGUGGGGGAUGAAGGCCUUCGGGUUGUAAACUUCUUUUGCUCUGAACAAGGCGCACCAUGGGGUGUGUUGAGUGUAGGGGUUGAUUAGCGCCGGCUAACUACGUGCCAGCAGCCGCGGUAAUACGUAGGGCGCGAGCGUUGUCCGGAAUUAUUGGGCGUAAAGGGCUGGUAGGUGGCUGGUUGCGUCUGUCGUGAAAGCGCAUGGCUUAUCUGUGGGUUUGCGGUGGGUACGGGCUGGCUUGAGUGCAGUAGGGGAGGCUGGAAUUCCUGGUGUAGCGGUGGAAUGCGCAGAUAUCAGGAGGAAUACCGCUGGGGAAGGCGGGUCUCUGUGCUGUUACUGACACUGAGGAGCGAAAGCAUGGGGAGCGCACAGG